rnacentral:rRNA from 1 species
ACGCGUGGAACCUUACCAGGUCUUGACAUCCCAUUGACCGCUAUGGAGGCAUAGCUUUCCCUUCGGGGACAGUGGUGACAGGUGGUGCAUGGUUGUCGUCAGCUCGUGUCGUGAGAUGUUGGGUUAAGUCCCGCAACGAGCGCAACCCUUGUUCUUAGUUGCCAUCAUUUAGUUGGGCACUCUAAGGAGACUGCCGGUGACAAACCGGAGGAAGGUGGGGAUGACGUCAAAUCAUCAUGCCCCUUAUGACCUGGGCUACACACGUGCUACAAUGGACGGUACAAACGGUUGCCAACCCGCGAGGGGGAGCUAAUCCGAUAAAACCGUUCUCAGUUCGGAUUGUAGGCUGCAACUCGCCUACAUGAAGCCGGAAUCGCUAGUAAUCGCGGAUCAGCAUGCCGCGGUGAAUACGUUCCCGGGCCUUGUACACACCGCCCGU